rnacentral:rRNA from 1 species
CGUAGGUGGCAAGCGUUGUCCGGAUUUAUUGGGUUUAAAGGGUGCGUAGGCGGUUCCUUAAGUCAGUUGUGAAAUACGGCAGCUUAACUGUCGAGGUGCAAUUGAUACUGGGGAACUUGAGUACUGAUGAGGUAUGCGGAAUGGACGGUGUAGCGGUGAAAUGCUUAGAUAUCGUCCAGAACACCGAUAGCGAAGGCAGCAUACUAAGGAGUAACUGACGCUGAGGCACGAAAGUGUGGGGAUCAAACAGGAUUAGAUACCCUGGUAGUCCACACUGUAAACGAUGAUCACUCGAUGUUGGCGAUACACAGCCAGCGUCUUAGCAAAAGCGAUAAGUGAUCCACCUGGGGAUACGCCGGCAACGGUG